AGGACGAACGCUGGCGGCGUGCUUAACACAUGCAAGUCACGGGGGCCCGCAAGGGCAACCGGCGAACGGGUGCGUAACACGUGAGCAACCUGCCGAUCUGUGGGGGAUAGCCGGGCUAACGCCCGGGUAAUACCGCAUACGGUUGCCGAGGGGAGUCCCUUGGCAAAGAAACCUCCGGGGCAGAUCGAGGGGCUCGCGGCCUAUCAGCUAGUUGGGGGGGUAAUGGCCCACCAAGGCGACGACGGGUAGCUGGU
rnacentral:rRNA from 1 species